UCCCCGAUGGUCUAACGGUCAUGAUUUCCGCUUGUCAUGAAAGUGACAAAGCCGCGGGAGACCGGGGUUCGACUCCCCGUCGAGGAG